UCCAUCUUCUUCAUUAGGCCGAAAUUUCAAGGGUUCUCCAUAGCUAGGGUUUGUUUCAAGCUUCCAAGCUCCAUAAUCAAGAAAGACGUGGAAUCGACCUCAAUCGAGGAAAAGAAAAGAUUGUGGACUAAAUUGCAAAAUCUUUGUAUUUUGGUACCAAGGUUUAUGGGAACUUAAGGUUCGAGCUUAGAGACCAUUAGAAACUAAAACGAGGAGUUAAAAUGAGCAGAACAGAGCAUGCCCAAGCUAAGCACCCUUGCCCUAGGCCAAGUGCCCCUGCCCCGAGCCAACGCCCUAGCAUGCAGUUGGGUGAUCCUUUGUUGGUGCCCUUGCCUUGUCCCGAUGCCUUCACUCCCGGCCCAUAUGCCCUACCUCGUCUAGUUGCCCCCAAUGCCCCGGCCCGUGCACCCUUACGUCGAGCUUCCAAUGCCCUAGUGCCAACCUUGUUACUUUGAUGUGUCUCGUUCGAGUUUUGAUUGAGCUUCAAGGGUACUUUGGUCAAUUAGGAGUGUUACAACCUCAAGUAAGCUCUCGUAACCUAGUUUAGGUUAACUAAACAAUAUAAAUAUGAUAUUUUGAGAGGGAGUUAGAACUUUUGGCUAUUCUCUACCAUCAUAGCUAUUUUAUUGUCUAUUGCGUUUUCGAUUUUAUGGUUUUCUAAACUCCAUUUUUCUAGUCAAAGGAUUAUUGAAGUUCAAUUCUAUAAA